UAGGGAAUAUUGGUCAAUGGGCGGAAGCCUGAACCAGCCAUGCCGCGUGCAGGAAGACGGCCUUCUGGGUUGUAAACUGCUUUUACCAGGGAACAAAUAGGCCAUGCGUGGCAAGUUGAGUGUACCUGGGGAAUAAGCACCGGCUAACUCCGUGCCAGCAGCCGCGGUAAUACGGAGGAUGCAAGCGUUAUCCGGAAUUAUUGGGCGUAAAGCGUCCGCAGGUGGCACUUCAAGUCUGCUGUCAAAGACCAGAGCUCAACUCUGGGCAGGCGGUGGAAACUGGGGAGCUAGAGUACGGUAGGGGUAGAGGGAAUUUCCAGUGUAGCGGUGAAAUGCGUAGAGAUUGGAAAGAACACCAGUGGCGAAGGCGCUCUACUGGACCUGUACUGACACUAAGGGACGAAAGCUAGGGGAGCGAAAGGGAUUAGAUACCCCCGUAGUCC
rnacentral:rRNA from 1 species